UACGGGGGGGGGCAAGCGUUGUUCGGAAUUACUGGGCGUAAAGGGCUCGUAGGCGGCCAACUAAGUCGGAUGUGAAAUCCCCAGGCUCAACCUGGGAACUGCAUCCGAUACUGGAUGGCUUGAAUCCGGGAGAGGGAUGCAGAAUUCCAGGUGUAGCGGUGAAAUGCGUAGAUAUCAGGAGGAACACCGGUGGCGAAGGCGGGUCUCUGGGCCGUAACUGACGCCUGGAGGAAGCGGAAAGCA
rnacentral:rRNA from 1 species